UACGAAGGGGGCUAGCGUUGCUCGGAAUCACUGGGCGUAAAGCGCGUGUAGGCGGCUUUGCAAGUCGGGUGUGAAAGCCCUCAGCUCAACUGAGGAAGUGCGCCCGAAACUGCAGAGCUUGAGUACCGGAGAGGAUGGCGGAAUUCCCCAAGUAGAGGUGAAAUUCGUAGAUAUGGGGAGGAACACCGGUGGCGAAGGCGGCCAUCUGGACGGUAACUGACGCUGAGGCGCGAAAGCGUGGGGAGCAAACAGG
rnacentral:rRNA from 1 species